rnacentral:lncRNA from 1 species
UACCUAUAAUUUUUGACAUGUAAAUGAAUAUAAUAUUAAAUAAUAAUAAUAAUAAUAAAUAAAUUAUAUUCUAAUGAAUAGAAUUAUAUCGCAUAUCAUUAUUGAAAGAGAAGAUUGAUAAAGAAUAUAGAUCUACUCAUCAAUAUUUGUAUCUUCCUCGAUGUGUAGAUCCUCUUCCAAAUCACAAUAAUCGACAUAUGUAUAAACAUAAUCCCGAGGAUGGC